GACGAACGCUGGCGGCGUGCUUAACACAUGCAAGUCGAACGGAAAGGCCCUGCUUUUGUGGGGUGCUCGAGUGGCGAACGGGUGAGUAACACGUGAGUAACCUGCCCUUGACUUUGGGAUAACUUCAUGAAACUGGGGCUAAUACCGGAUAGGAGCUCCUGCUGCAUGGUGGGGGUUGGAAAGUUUCGGCGGUUGGGGAUGGACUCGCGGCUUAUCAGCUUGUUGGUGGGGUAGUGGCUUACCAAGGCUUUGACGGGUAGCCGGCCUGAGAGGGUGACCGGCCACAUUGGGACUGAGAUAUGGCCCAGCCUCCUACGGGAGGCAGCAGUGGGGAAUAUUGCACAAUGGGCGGAAGCCUGAUGCAGCAACGCCGCGUGCGGGAUGACGGCCUUCGGGUUGUAAACCGCUUUCGCCUGUGACGAAGCGUGAGUGACGGUAAUGGGUAAAGAAGCACCGGCUAACUACGUG
rnacentral:rRNA from 1 species